UGAGGAAUAUUGGUCAAUGGGCUUACGCCUGAACCAGCCAAGUCGCGUGAGGGAAGACUGCCCUAUGGGUUGUAAACCUCUUUUGUCAGGGAGCAACGCCGGCUACGUGUAGCCGGACUGAGAGUACCUGAAGAAAAAAGCAUCGGCUAACUCCGUGCC
rnacentral:rRNA from 1 species